rnacentral:misc_RNA from 1 species
UGCUUGCAUGAGCUAGUUGGGCGAAAACCAACGUGCUUUUCGAAGAGAGCAGAAAAUGAGCUCGAAAUCACAAGAAAUGUCGAAACUUGUUGCAAACAUGGAUGCAUAUCUUGCGCAGCUGGGCCUGUGCAGGAAAACAAUUGUCAGAGACGGGUCCUGUUUGUUCCGUGCGGUGUCGGAGAAGCUGUUCCUGACUCAGUCCUACCAUCUGAGGAUCCGGCAAAUGUGUGCAGAUUAUCUCUGGAGGCAUCGAGACGAGUUUGAACCUUUUAUUGAAGGUUCCUUUGAAGAGAGAAUUUUUAGAUUACAGAAUUCAAAAGAAUGGGCAGGCCAGGUGGAAAUGAUGGUACUAUCCAGACUCUAUGGUGUGGAUUUCAUUAUCUUCCAACAACCAGAGUGUCCUCCUGCCAAUGUAACACAAAAUAACUUUGUAACAAAGAUAUUGCUGUGUUUUGUUGAUGGCGUCCACUACGACAUUAUCUACCCAAGAUCCUUUGUACAGGACGCUGCCAUCUGUCAAUCAAUUCUGUAUGAGAUUCUUUACCACGGGGUGUUUGGACUGACGAAUGAGUUACAAGAAGCUGUGCUCUUUAUUCGACAGCAGAAGAAAAGCUCUCGGGAGAUACAUGAAAAUGGCUGUUUAUACUUGGAGACCUGCCACAGUGGAGAGAACAACUUCCUUACACGCCAUAUAAGCCGGUCCACGCCACCACUGCCGUAUCGGAUAGCCAAAGCUCUAGACCCAGUGUUUUUCAGAAACGUUGAACUUGACAUUAUUCAGGAGGAGAAGAGAGAAGCGAAGUUAAGAACUCAGCAAGGCAAGGACUUCAAUGGUUUUGCCCCUGGUGACAAGUGUCAAGUAUUGCUGGCCAGCCACACAGACAGACUCUAUAAUGCCCAUAUACAACACUUGUCAGAAAACCAGGGACCAGUGGAAGUCUUCAUAGAGGAACUUGGAGAAAAGAAAACGGUUCCAUAUUCCAGUCUGCGUUCAAUACCAGCUGCCUUGAAAAAUAGCUGCCUGCUGCCUCUGGAGGGAAAGAGUAAGAGAAAGAAAGGGAGUCAGUGUCUGAUGCCAGUUACUUCCGUGGACGUAGCCUCACAACACUACCACAUCUCGCCCAGCAGAUCCCCACUCACACGCUCUGUCUGGACACCCAACAAUAACAGCUGCCGCCCCCUUGACAUUGGGCAGAGAAUGCCGAUACCUCAAGCACCUGUUCCUGAGAGUUCAGAGCCCCUGGAGAACGGCGGUGGUGGUCAUUACUGCACAGUGCCUGUGUCGUCAGCCUCGUCCAGCACCAGCUCCCAGGCCCCCCUGCCUAUGACACAACCCCCUGUGUAUCUAGUGCCUGUAGUCAACGUACCCUAUGCUUCAUCCAUUGGUCAGGUGAACUUCAGUUGGGGACCAUCUCAAGAUCCAUAUGGCAAAGAUUUGCCCCUGUCAGAUAUGAACACACUGCGAUACUUCUUCAACCUUGGUAAUGAGUAUUCCCGAGUCAUAGCGAGUUUCCAGCAGUCACAGCAGCCGAUACUUCCACCACCACCGCCGCCACCCAUGAUUGGUCCAGUUGAUAUGUCAGCUCAGCCAAUGAUGUCACAUUAUGAUCAGGGUCAGUCAAGCAUGAGAAACAAGUUACCCGUUAAAACACAAAUCAGUCAAAAAACAUCUGAUUUCAAUCUAGCACCGAGUUGUGGGAAACCUGAUGUGAAGAAGGGAGGUAACUCUGUGUCUGAUCCUUACCGCGAGAAAGAGGCUGAAGAUGAGGGCUGUCUGUCCACUGACAGUGGUUGUGUUAGUGAGUGUUCAGGCAGUUUGAGCCCCUCCAAGCUGGAGAGUUCUACCGAGGAGGGAGACAUGGAGGGCAGUCAUAGUGUCUGUGGAAUUGAGGAGAAUCCUCUAGGAAGCACAGAAUGUAUUGAGAUUAAUAGUGAGGGGAAAGGAAAAGGUAAACGAAAGUAUUACAUGUAUGGCAAUCACAAACUGGUCAAACCAAUCAAAGAGAUCCCUCCAAGGUUCCAGGUGUUGCUGGCCGAGACGAGCGCGGCUAAAGCUCGCUGCGAAGGCCAGCCAAUCUACAUUCAGCAGUCUGAGGGCUUAAUUAGUUACGAUAAGGACAACUGCAGUAACCUGAAUGUUAAUGCUAACUGCUUUGUUCCUGGUCAGAAUAUCCCCAUGGAUAUGAACUGCGGCCUUCCUGCUGGCCUCACCUUCUUGCCUUGCACAUCCUUACAAGUCCCCCCUUCCCAGCAUCCCACAAUGCAAAGCGUACCUCCUACGCUGCCGUCGACCAUGGUAGGGCCUCAUCACCAGCCGCUGUUCUCAGCCCCCCCUCCCAACACGGUACCCCCCUCCAGCGUCCCGAACGUUCUGGUGAGCUCUCAACCCCUGCCUAGCACUUCUGCAUGUCCUCCUCCUCCUGCUUCCCUUGCUAACAAUUACACAAAUGGUGGUGGUUCUUGCUAUUAUGUCUAUCCGUCUUCUCCUUCCACAGGCUUUGCUCCCAUCCCCGGCACACCUUCCCAAGGUCAAGGUCAAGUGGUGUACAUGGUAGGCCCCUCGUACCCCACUCCGCCUGUCCAGACCUUCCAGCCAGGGCUGCCCCCUGUCAACUACAGCGUCAGUGUACCCUGCCCGGCGGCUUCCCAGUAACGGCAAAAGAAGAUGGAGUCUUCGCUAGUGCUACUCCUAGCUUUGUUAGUGCGCACUGUUAUCAUCCUAAACUCGACAAUUUUAGGUUGUCUGGCUGUCUAAUUCCAUAAUUCUUAUUUGGCAAAGUCUGAAAUUUGGACUACAAUUUUUACAUUUUUGCAAAAUAAAUUUAGCAUUUUGAGUCAAAAGUUUGAUAUUUUUAGGGCAUGUUUCUGGAAAUGAAACUAGGGCCAGAUUUUAAUGUAUUUAGUUUGUAUGGAUAUAAACAUGCAAGGAAGUCAAGGUUUUAGGAUAUUAACAGCUACGUAGUGCCAUCAGUUUUAGGCUAAUUGUACUUGGUGUUUAACACUAAUAUUUUUAAGCCAUCUUCAUAGCAUAACAUUAGAGCUUGCCAUUACUAGUCUUCAUAUUGCCUCAGUCGACUGGGAAGAGAGCAGGAAUGGACUAGUCCAUUGUGGAGUGUGGAACCAUGGCGACAAAAGGACAGGUCUUGUUUAAACAUAGUCUUGAGUCAAAGGACAUAUAUGAUGUUAACGUGCCAAGAACUGUUGUUGCAGAUUUUCAAAUGAAAGAUACUUGCAUAUAUAUAUAUAAGGAAGAACUUUGGUGGAAAGGGACAUGAUUGCAUCUGAUUCAUGAUCAUAGUGAAUCCUCACGAAGUGGCGUGUUUUCCUUACUGAAGUGAGCAAUCUGUGUCAUCGAAGUCGUGGACCUGAAUCUCAAGCAGGACAUUUCCGUGAAACGUACACAUUCAAUUCUGAGACAGUUUUGGAAUGCGAUACAAACCAUGUUUGAAAGGCAUUGCCAAAUGCUUUUUGAGAUGAUUGGCAGUUUUGAUGACAUGUCCGUCAUCAGACAAUUAAAGAGACGACCAAACAUGAAUACGUGUCUCCUGAACACAUUGAUAUGGAUUACCACAGUCCUCUACUGAUGGUAGACUUGUGAUGUACCCAUGGUAUGAGACGAAUUGUGACGAUACCCCAAUGCUUGUUGUCAUACACGUGCAUUGGCAUUACUUGAACAAAAGGAGAGAUUGCCUCUGUUUAGCAUUUUCAAAAUUAAAAAGCAUUUAGUUUGAGUGUUUUGUUAUGUCAGAUUAUUAAAGAUAUUUAUUUCCAUGUUUGUUUUUGUUAUGACAACUAUAUAGGACAUUAGUUUUCUCCCAUUGUGGAGCUGAUCAUUUUAGAAAGUCUGGAAUCUGCUUAUGUUUUGAAAGACUUUCCUGUCACCUUAGGGAGCAUUGAUUGUGUCCCACUUGUUCAUUCAGUUGUUCCUACAAAAUAAGUUUGAUAUCUUUGAUGGAAAGUUUGAAUACUAUACAGUUUAACAGGUGUUAAAAGUUGAAUGUUAUUAAGUCAAGAUAUAUAUAUAUUUUUUAUGCAAUUAUCACAUUUGAGAUUUAAUUUUGUUGAUUGUAGGUUAGACUUUAAUGUUCGUUAUUAACAUAACUGUGAAUAGUGAUGUCAAUUAUUUUAGUUAGUUUAUUAAGAGAUCCAGGUGUAAAACUAAAGAAAUCUUUUCCCUAUUUUCUGUUGUAAAUAUUGAAGGACGAAUGAAAAUACCCUCAGUAGGCUGAGUUUCAUCAUACAGAGUUUGAAUUGUGAACUCAUCCAGUUACACGAUGGUGUUCUCUGGGGAGCAUUUUGAAAUUGUUAUAUUUGAAUGUCUUAAUAUGAUUUAAUUUUUUGAUAGAACUCCUCAAUAUAUUUUGAUAUGAAAAUUUAGAAUUUGAAAUUCAUGUGUAACUCCUGGAGAGCUUUGAUAGGUAUUUUACUUCACUGGUUGUGUCUGGAUCUAUGGAGGCUUCAGAAUAUUUACUUCCCUAGAUUCACGAGUUCUUUUAGUACUUUAAUGAGAACUGUGAUACCUCCACUUUUCUUUUUGAAGUAUCCAAUAAACACGAUUGCGUUAAAUGGUUACUUCACAUUGUAAAUCUUCAUAAGGAAGUCAGUAUUUUUGACAUGACGACUUUGUUACGGUACUAUAAUUGACAAAGAACUCUGAAAGCAGCAAACAUUGUAAGAAUAUUUAGGCCAUCUCUGAGUGAAGGGAAUUUUUAAGUCCUGGGUGUAGAACAGUUGUCUCCCCCUGAUCACGUGGCGGUGAUUCGGUAUUGGUCAUGUUGAAGUAAAUUGAGCCAGGGGAAACAGGUUUUAUUGACUUCUUGUGACUGAUAUUUUUUUUAUAGUAUAUAUAAAAGAAUUGUUAUUCAGAAUAUUGACAUUUAAAUAUACGUUUGGCCAGUAUUGAAGACUUCCAUGGUCAUUGUGGCCAGGACAGCCAUCUCAACAGAAGUUUUCAGAGGCUUUGUACCAGCACAUGGCACAGAUAUGUGAGGUACAGGCGGAGUCUUUUCACGUAUAUUCAGUGCUGAUUAUGUUAAUAUAUGACUUUCCUAUCUGCCUUCACGAUGACACAAGGAAGCUUUAUCUCGCUAUGCUACAAAAAUAAUUCUAUAUUGAACCUAAUUGUGUGAAUGAGUAUUAAUCAAACUGUAGUAACUGUCUAGAGUUUGAGUAGGGCAGCACAGCACCUGGCCUAGCAGCAACCCUGGGGGCGUUAACAUGUAGAGUAUAGACGUCUACCACAGUUAUAGAGAAAUGUACCGUGGCCGAAAUCGUUAUUCAGAAACAAACCUCAGCUGACCACAACAUGGCUAAUAGUGAUUGGAUGAGUUCAUUAAACAAUGUGUGAAACCAAAUUCAGUUUCAAUUGUAACGUAAGCCUGAAUUGCAUUUAUUGGAAAAUAAAUGAUAGUGGUACAGGUUUAAGAUAAAUGUUAUGAGAAGAUACAUUUCUUCAACUCUCACACCAGCCACUAUUGAUUGUUACCAUGAUUUGGCACACCUGAAGCCUGCAGAGGAAGCUAUUCAACACAUCGUUGAAUGAGUGGACUUGGCUAGUGGCUCCAGUACCAAGCUGUGGACAGUUAGGGUACGUUUCUCUAUUCUGAUUUCAGCCCUGGUUGAAUUCUGUAUGUAUACCAAAAGGGUAGUGGGGUACCCAGGUGGUAAAAGCUUGCUCGUCCCUCGCCAAAGGCUUAGUUAGGAUUAAUACCAUUUCAGCUGUCUCCUGUCUCCUGUUUCCUGUCGGGAUUUUGCUGGAAUUUUGCUAAAAGCUGUGUGAAACCAUACUCACUCACUGUGUACCCCAAAGUACCUUGGUGCAUUUCUGUUGUACUCUAUACUACUAAAGGGGCGGUCGGGUAGCCUAGUGGUUAAAGCGUUCGCUCGUCACGCCCAUUUCGGGUGUCCCCUGCCGUGAUAUUGCUGGAAUAUUGCUAAAAGCGGCGUAAAGCAAUACUCACUCACUAUACUACUAAAACACUUGCACAACAACAGCAGCAGCAGCAGCAGCAGCACCACGAGAGAUGUGAAUGUCUAGUCAUGUCAGAUGGGACAAUUGAAUCAAUUCAUUAUUUCAUGAGCUCAGCAUAAUAUGGGCCAGAUCUCCAAAAUCAUGUAUUGUACUUAAUGUUUGUAAAUUCCCCUAUCUUUCUGGAUACAAAAUCGUAGACAAACAUGUAAAAUCUGGAAUUAGGCAAAUGACUUUUUAUGAAUGUUUUUUUCCUUUUUAUUUUGUAUUAAAACUGACAUUCAAUAGAUCAGACUUAUUUUGUAGAUGUUUUCAUAUUUGAAAUAUUUAUUGUUUAUUGGUUCAUGGUUGCUUUGAAUUAUUUUGAUGUAUAACUUGAUAUAUCCUAUAAGAGAAUACUUUGCCAGAUUCAUAUUGAAUUGUUGCACUUGCUUGACUAUGCAUUUUAAGAAAUACUGCUGUUUAUAAGACCACGAUUCAUUAACAUUGUGUACUAUGUAUAGUCAUUGCUUGGAAACAUCAGCACAGACAUGUCCAAAGGUUUCCAUCUUGAACUUAAUAACCAGACCAGUUUAAUAGUAGUCACCUGUUUGAAUCUGGCUACCUAACAUUUGUUGUGUCAAUUGUUUGAUUUUGUGUAAUUAUUGUGUUAUUUAUGCAUUAGUUUGUCAAUCAUUCUUGUCCUGUGUCAAGCGUAGUUCCUUUGAAUCACAAUUUGUACAACGAACGUGUGAUUGGUGUGUUCGCUGAGUGGUCACCCUGCAAACAGGAACAAUAACGAAGUCAGUGCAAGUGUUUUUUCAGAAAAAUCUGGUCAAAUAAUGUACUCCUUUAUUCAGGGGUUGUUAAUAUCCAUUAAAAAUAUUCCUGAUUAGAAUUUGUUUUGUUUUGAAUGUUUUUUGUGAAAAGAAAUUAUUCCUGUACAGGGAGCGGUUGUACAAAACCUUAGCACUACGACGGUCGUAAUUCUGUUAGAGCUAAGGUGAUCGUAACUACCAUACCUUAAGAUCGCUUUGUAUAACGGCACCCAGGUCCACAAUGAAGAAAGAAAUGCCUUAAUUAUUUGACCCAAACCAUGUUUAUUAGGUUUAAGCAUAAGCAUGUGUAAAGGUGAAGUUUAUGGUACUGUAAUUCGACAACUGACGACGUUCCAUGAAGCCCUCUUCACACUGUGACUGUCGUGAAAGUAAUAAGUUGUCAGACGCUAACAUCUUAUUCUGAAUCUAGGCUCCUGGUAUGGAAUGAUUGCAGUCUACAUCUAAUCACGCUUUAAACUCUUGAGAGUAGUCUGCGAGAUACAUUUAUGAAUGUAUUAGAAUGUGUGACUUUUUUUCAAAUUAGAUUAAUUUUGCUAGAUUAUUUGGAUUUGAUUAAAUAUAAACUUGUGAUGCAGUAUUGCAAAUCAAGGAUGAGACUUUUCCGUGGAAUUCCGUGGGAACACCAACUAUAUCAAUACAAGAUAUAGCUGUUCACCGACUCAGCUGAUCAUGGGUCAUUGUGACCUGGUGUGGAUUGUUGCUCAUGUUAUCAGCCACUGGUUUGUUUGGUCUAUUCUCGAUUGUUGUGCACGCAGCAGUGAUAUAUACCAUUCACCUUGAUAGGGACAUUCUUGUUAUUUCUUAAUAUACAGAAAUAUCCCUAUCAGUUGUUGAGUGGCAUAGUUGGAAUAUUGAUGACUGCAGCAUUGCAGUUACUGUAAUUAUUAACAUUACCUAUUGUAUUAUUAGUAUAGAAUGAACGUGUGUUAUAACUACUGGUAUCUGAUAUCUGCACAUGAACACUGGUCAUGAUUGGUCAAUUAAAGCCAUAUGAUGUCACAGUGCUUCCUUAAUUGUUGAGGAAAAUAUGACAUGGCAUCAUCCAUUGUUCAUGACAUCACAAAUUGUGUACAUUUUGAACAUCUGCCUUUUGUGAAGCUUCUCUGUACAGAUGACAGUACAUACGUUUUUUCCUUCACUUUCUCCAUAAACAUAACACUGAGCAACACUGAAUAACCUCCUCGUCAUUACGGAAUGUCUGUCUGUCCCUAGUGAAUGAAUGCUGUAUGUCGCUUGCCAAAUGCUGGGAUUAAUACUAGGGCUGGGACGAGUCCAAAUUUACUACCCGGGUACCCACACCCCUAUUACCCGACCCUACCCGGGUACCCGCUGUUGGUCUAAAGAGAUAGGUACAAAAUGUCCGAUUGGGAAUAGUUUGACAGUAGCCCUGGCAGAAUGUAUUUGUACUUGUAUAAAAUGAUGUGGUCAUGCAUACACUGAAGUUGACUGCAGUUUUAGCUUUGUUCAAACCUAUUUAAAUCAAAAGGUACUUGUUCAUAGUCAUAAAGAAAUGCGAACAUUAGAGACUUAAAAUUGUCGUGUAACCAUGUAGUUAUAUAGUGAAUUUUUGUCAUGAAACAAUAUAUCAUGUGACUAACCACGGGGCCGGGUUGUCCUGUGGGUACCCAGGUCCUACUCGGUACCCACCCAACCCGAGUACCCGAGUUACCCGUCCCACCCGUCCCACCCGUCCCAGCCCUAAUUAAUACUAUUCAUUCACUCGGUACAGAUAAUCCCUAAUUCCUUGUAGCUUGUUGGUUGUUCUGUAUAUAAGCUCUGCAAUAAUGGAGAUUGUUCAUUGUAUGUCGACUGUCGUACAACAUGUGAUUACCUCGUGUGAUUCCUGUAGUUUUAUGUUGAUCAAUGUUCAACAUUCUGUAUUAAUUAGUUGUUGUUAAUCAUGAUUAUUCUUAUAAUUUAUUGCAUUUAGAUUGUUUGUCUGUUAUGUAGUUUGUUUGUUGAAAUUGCAACUUCUUACCCCAAAUCUAUUAUUAGGCAUUUACUAAGCAUUGUACCAAUACAAAUAAAAACCACAGAUGAGUAAAAAUAUAUAUAACAAAUCUAAGAUCAGUCUUGAGUAACUUUCCCACUUCUGCUUAGUUUCAUUUAUUUGAAGCCAUUUAAAAAAAGUCAUGUUUUGAAAUAAUGGAAACUGAAACAUUAAUAUAAUUUAGAUAUUAUUGAGUAAUUUAGGUAAGUUAAAUGAAUGAAUAUUAAAUAUCUAAGAGGUGAGGUCAUGAUAGACAUUUAACUAAGUAUUUUAUUUUUGAGUAAUUUAGGUAAGUUAAAUGAAUGAAUAUUAAAUAUCUAAGAGGUGAGGUCAUGAUAGACAUUUAACUAAGUAUUUUAUUUUUGAAAGUUUUAUUUAGUUGCCAAGCAGUCAAAAUAUAGAAAUGAAAUCAAACUUUCUCUUCCUUUAAGAGUGCACAGAAAUACAGAUAUUAAAAGUAGAAGUGGUUCUAAAGCUGAGAGGGGAAAAUAGUCCAUGACCUUAUUUUCUUUUCCUUUUUUCACAAAUUCCUUUGUCUACAGAAAUAUGGACUUUGAUGCUGGUGUUGACCAAUGAUUAGGAGCUUUACAUGAAGCUGCUCUCGUCAUUCAUGUUGUCCGGUAACUUUUACUGUCAGUUAUAAGUUUAUGCUGUGAACAGACUUCAUAAUUGUGGAAACAAAAUUGUACCUAAUUGGUUUUAGUUUUGAAAAAGCAAUAUUUAAAAUGUGAAAUUGGAAAGAUAAAUAAAUCUAAAUGUUUGUUGAUAUUAAAGGGACAAUACCAGAAAGAUAGCUCGAUAUUAGAAAUAGUUGUUCAAAAAAGAUUACAUUGCGCAAUUAACGUGUUAAUUUCUCAAGUAAAUUCUAUUCAUUAACAUUCUUUUAGUACAUUUUGAUCAUUUUAGUGUGACAAAGUGUCAAAAUAUUAUUUUCUUUGUAGACCUUCUUGUAUGUUGAUUGGUUACAAUGAACUCAACUUGCGUUUCAAUUUGUCGAGUUGUUACUGUUCAAUUAUUUGUUGCUGAGCUUGAGGAUGACGGGACUAUUUCUCCCUGUGUUGUGUCUGUUUUCGUCCAGUCUGACUUGUCACUUCCAACCUGUGUGCAAUGUCACCGUACUGUAGGAAAACCUGUCGGUAUGAUGUCCUCAAAACGAUAAUUACCUGACGUCUAACCCUCUUUGUAUACAUAUACUACUCAAAAGAAGUCAAGGGUCGCCAUUUUUUUAUAUCUUUUUUUCCUGAUUUAUAUGAAACAUUUGGGUGGCCCUUUACUUCUUUUGAGCAGUAUUUAUCAUUUAAUAUUCAUAACAGUGUUCGCUAUGUGAAAAUAUAAGACAUGCAGCAAGAUUCGCUGGUAAUUUUACUCUAUGCAGUGAUGUUUUCGUGUGUGGCAUAAUGGGGUGAUGGGGUGGCCCAGUGGGUAAUGUGAUCCACAGGUUUUGUUCCCCACAUGGGUCCAAAGCCCUUUAGUCCUGAUAGUGAGAGAAUAUUACUCAUCUGGAAUUCCUACUAAUUUAUAUCUUGAAAGGAGCUAUCUGCUCGUAAAACAAAUCUUGUAUUUUCUUAGCUAAAGAAGAUGGAAGCCGCCUAUUUUCAGAUUUAUAUUUGGAAUUUUAUGAUUUUGUAACCCCGCAAACAGUUGUAAAUAUUUAUCCUGUUUGAAUUCAUAGAGCAAUAACAAUAUUAACUUAAAUAAUUGUUUAUGUAGGAGGUUUAGUUGUGCCUGAUAUUACUAAGUUCAAUGUAUAUAGAAAGUUAAAUUUAGCCAAAAGAAAAAAAACCCAAGACAUUACCAUAUUCCAUCAAAUGACCCCCCCAGGUUUUGAACCAAGGAGAGUAAAACUGUGUGCUCAGUGCUAAAGACAACCAAUCUAGCUGACUAAAAAGUGCUAGAAAUUCAGCAGGCUAAGGGUUAACAGAACAGUGAUAAUUCUGAUCAGAAUCUGAUGUUAAUUGUAUGCUUGUCGUAAGAUGUGACUAACGGGAUCGGGUGGUCCGCCUUGCUGACUUGGUUGACGCAUGUGAUUGUAUCCCAGUUGCGAAGAUCGAUGCUCAUGUCAAUCACUGAAUUGUCUGGAGUGCGGUGUUACCACAACAAACUGAAAACAAACAAACAAACAUCUUUAUUGAUGUAUGCUACUCAACAUUUACUUAGGACCACACUUUUGACUAAAGAUGACUUUUGUCCUUAGCAAAUGUUGAGUAGUAUAUAAACGUGUUAAAUAUCAUGUGAUACUUUGUAUUGGAAUCUAGUAUUGAAAAUCGGCAGAUGUUAUGGAAUGGCUUACAUCGCACACUCAAUAGGUACAGAACUAUCAUGAUGAAAUCAGUUUGUUAGUGACCCAAGGUUGUAUUUCAAUUAAGUGUACAUUUUCAUGUUCAGUUAUGCAAGAAUGUGUCUUCAUUAUCACUUCCAAGAUGUCUUCCAGAUCAUGUGAUGGUAGUCAUGGUGAUGGGAAUAUGCUUCUCUGUUUGACCAUUGCUGUCACAUGACUGCUUGAACCUGGAUAUCAUAUAUAAAAAACACCAUUAUUGCAAAUAUGUCCAUUCUGUGUGAUGGAUGAUCAAAGCAAUCAUUGUGCAUCAUGGGACUCGCUGGAUGGUGACGACCCAGUUCCUCGAGUCUCAUGUUGACAUCCAUCUGUUCCGGUGCUGGUGACUGAAUCAAGUCUGUUGUAUUGUGUCAGUGUGUUUUGUCCUCAAAUAAAUCAUUAGAAGUU